rnacentral:rRNA from 1 species
UGGGUAACCUGCCUUAUAGUGGGGGGAUAGCCUUUCGAAAGGAAGAUUAAUACCGCAUAAGAUUGUAGUAUCGCAUGAUAUAGCAAUUAAAAGGAGCAAUCCGCUAUAAGAUGGACCCGCGUCGCAUUAGCUAGUUGGUGAGGUGAUGGCUCACCAAGGCGACGAUGCGUAGCCGACCUGAGAGGGUGAUCGGCCACAUUGGGACUGAGACACGGCCCAGACUCCUACGGGAGGCAGCAUG